rnacentral:misc_RNA from 1 species
GAUGAAGAACGUAGCGAAAUGCGAUAAGUAAUGUGAAUUGCAGAAUUCAGUGAAUCAUCGAGUCUUUGAACGCACAUUGCGCCCCCUGGUAUUCCGGGGGGCAUGCCUGUCCGAGCGUCAUUGCUGCCCUCAAGCACGGCUUGUGUGUUGGGCCCCCGUCCCCGGUUUCCCCCGGGGACGGGCCCGAAAGGCAGCGGCGGCACCGCGUCCGGUCCUCGAGCGUAUGGUGCUUUGUCACCCGCUCUGUAGGCCCGGCCGGCGCCAGCCGACACCCAACUUUAUUUCUAAGGUUGACCUCGGAUCAGGUAGGGAUACCCGCUGAACUUAAGCAUAUCAAUAAGCGGAGGA